rnacentral:tRNA from 1 species
GGGCGAUUGGUUUAGUGGUAUAACGUCUGCUUAGCAUCGAGGAUUUGUUGUUACAACACCAGUGCUUGCUGAAGGUCGCGCGUUCGAUUCGCGCAUUGUCCA